AUUGCUUCUUGGCCUUUUGGCUAAGAUCAAGCGUAGUAUCUUGAUGGCUACAGAACAUUGUUGGAUUUAAUAAAAAUACAUUAAGAUAGAAUUAAGCUUAAUAGAAAUUUACUGGAAUAAUGAAUUUCCUUUAUAUAAUUUACUGAUU
rnacentral:snRNA from 1 species